GCGAUGUUUUCUGCCCGUGCGUUGGUGGCAGGCAGUGACAUUUCAUGCAAAGACCGUUACUUAAGAAGAGGUUUUGCAAAGUAUCACUGCUUACCACAGACGUUACUUUCGAGAACAGGAGU
rnacentral:precursor_RNA from 10 species